AACCAAAUAGCCUUGGACCAAU
rnacentral:siRNA from 1 species